GCUUUAAGUGCAUUUUCUCCUUGAACUUCCGGAGCAAAGUCCACCAAAUCCAGCUGUGGAUACAACAUCUGGCAGGCCGCAGGGCCAGUCCCUGCCAAGAGCGCAUCUCCGCAGCCCUCGCCCUAUGGUGAUGUCACUGUUCUGUGUCUCCACGGCAACCACAGGCUGGGAAGAUGGAAAAGAGGAGAGCCGAGUAACCAAGAGAGAGCCAAUGAGAUGGGCCAGCUGCGCCGGAUGAUCCGUGGGGCCAUGGGGCGGGGCUGGGGGGAGAGCAGGGGGCCUACUCAGCAUCUUGGGCUGCUUCCUGGACCCUCCCUGCCAUCUAGACGCCUCCAAUAGGGGAUGUGCCACUGGGACGGGGAGAAACACCGGAGGUAGAGGCCAAAGAAGCUGAGCUGGAGCCUCCACUGACCCAGGGACAUAGAAACCCCCCCCCCCAUAACCUCUUCGGGGCUUAAUCUGUGCCUGUUGACUGCCCCAGUCCACCCCCAGGACCUGCUGCUGGAAUUUUUCUUUUUUUUUUAUGGUAAUGGUGGUGCAGCCCUCUGCCACGGAAUCAGGUUCUUAACCCUUCUCUCCACACCCUCCAUAGCUUCCCCUGGUGCAUGAUCUAUUCAGAAGCGGCAUCUUUGGAAAGAAGCCUGGUUCUAAAUCCCAAGCCUGCAACUUACUAGUCAAGAGACUAGGAGCCAGUCCCUUCCCCUUCUGAGUCUCCUUUCCUCCCAAAUGGAGGAAGGGCCAUCUAUUCCCAGGAUUGACAGGAGGAUUAAAAGAGAUAACAUAUGGAAGCCUAACACACAGAAUACUCAAUGAGUGGUGAUUACGUUCUCCCUUCUGGGUCUCCCCGGGGCACUUGUCCCAGAGAUGCAUGUGAAUGAGCCAAGGCCCUUGGAGACAUUGAACCAAUAGCAAAGAACCAGGUGUGUCUGUCUCCUCACUGGGGCCAUUAAGUGCCUUCAGAUACUGCAGACAAGUUUUCCACAUCUCUCCCUUUCUCUUUAAGUAACUCAUGCAUUUCGCCGGUCUCCGUGAGUACCUCCUGCGCCCAGACACUGUGCUGGGCUCAGCGGGUUCCAGGGGAAACAGGAGAGCCACAGCCCCCAUCCUCCCUGAGCUCACUAUGUAGGGGGAUUGCAGCGCGGUGGCUGGAAUGCAGUGUUCUUUCUGCCACAAGGAAAUCGCUUCCUCGUUCCCCAAGAGUUCUAGAUACUGUGGGUCUGAGAGAACAAAUGAUGGCAAAAGGUAGGGAUUUACUCAACACCAGUUGCUUCUGAGAAACUGCUGCCUGUGGCACAUGCUCCCUGGAAGGAGAACAAUGGUUCUGUCUGCCCAGAGAGGAGAGGGGGUAGCUCAGGGUGGUGGGGCGGUCACCUCGGCUUUCCCAGAAGCCAGCUGUCCUCCCUGUUGGCAGAAUAAAGCCCAAACUCUUCCGC